AGCCCUGGCUGGGCCUGAAACGGCAAGAACUGGCUCCAAGGUCCUGGCCCUGUCUGAGGAAACUGCCACCCAACACAAUGCCAGCCAUUGUGGGCAGCAGCCGGGCAGACGGAGCCGGAGCUUCCAAGCAGGGGCGGCUGCAGCCGGGCUGGGAGCCUUCACGGGUCAUUAGCUUGCUUAAUGGCGCUGCAGUAGGCCCCGCUCGCCGGCCUCCCCUGAGACACCCAGAGGAGGCAGAGGUCACGAGGUGGUCUGGCUCCUUCUCCAGGGCAGCUGGCACCGUCUGCUCCCCCUACCAGGGGUGCGCCCGUGUGGACACAGGAUGCAGGGUCAGGGAGCAGGGGAGGAACUGAGUCUCCCUUGUGCAGGCACAAAGGCGGCCUCAGGACCAGGGACCCAGCUGGGCACCAGCUGCUGGCUGGCCUGGCCUGCCUGCCAGUGUCAGGGGUCCCAUGGGGGUGAGCCAGAGGCCUGGCUUUCCCCGGGGCCAAAGGGCUCUAGGAGGCAAUAGCUGCUUCCCCAGGGCCCGCCAGAGCCCUGGCAACAGGGUCAUGGGGCGGCCGGCGGUGCUGGGGGGCAGGUGGGUGCUCUGGGUCCGCUUGAUCAUGGUUUCCGGGAAGCAGUGCAGGAAGAUGAACUUGGUGCAGAGCUCCCACAGGCAGGCUAGCGCAAAGCUCCGAGGAAGUGCUCCCAGAUGAACUUGGCCGAGAGCAUCACCAGGGCCACGAGGAGCCCAGUGAUGCUGGGGAAAGCAGGCGGGGCUAGGACCCCACCCCCACCCCCUCCCUGGAAUCCCCCGGCCCACCUGGGUGAUGUUAUCCCAAAGACAGGGACAAGAGAUGAGAGGAUGGAAAUGUCUCUUUGGGAAAAAGGCUGCAGGAGCUGGAGGUGAUGAACAGAGCAGGCGAGAGGAAAGGGAGGCCCCCUCCUCCUGCCAUGUUAGAGAAGGGAGCCCUGGAUCUGGCUGCCACCGGUGGCUUGUGCACACCUGGGGCUGAGGGCACACAGGGCUGCACAUACACAUUCAAGGCCACUGUGAGAACAGGUGAGCAGGGCCAGAGGGCUGUGGAAAGCCCAGCUGAAAGCUGCACUUCCAGGCUGAAGAGCGUUUUACCGGCAUCUGCCAGGAAGCCUGGGCUCUGGGGGCUGUCAUUGUAGAUGACCACUUCCAGGUCGUGGCCACAGCCCCGGUUCUGGUCACAGCCAGGCCACCAAUCCUCCUGCGCCACCCACCCCUUAUCCACCAGGCUGUCUUCAGGGCAUCGGCUGGCCUCAGUUGUGGCAGCCAGACCCUGAUGUUGCGCAAGAAGGCCGGCCAGUCCAUAUCGUGCAGCCUGCGAGGAGGUCAGGUCUUUGUCAGCAAAGGUGGGAAACCAGGGGAGUGGCGGCCCCAGGCCCCAGAGACAUUUGAAAUGACCUCAGAAGACCCAGGGCCACUCAGGGCGACCACAUCGGGGAGCUGCCUCUGACAGGCUGUGACGGAUGUUUAAGGAAGGGAUCGAUGGUCACCUGACUCUCAGGAGUGCAGGAGAGGCCACUGAGGCCCGUUCAGAAGGGACUGGGUGUUGGUCCCUGUGGACUCGGCCUCUGGCUGGUGGUGAGGAAGAGGAUUUCUCACCACCCAUCCUCUGGCCCCUGCUGCCUGAGGGAGCAGACGCCUGUGAGGCGGUUUCCGGGAAGUUCGUCUCCAGCAGGAACUCCAGGCCAAGUGCACGUCUCUGAUCACGUGUCACCGUGGCGGUGCGUGCGUGCGUGCGUGUGCACUGGUCUGUGGCCUGUGGUGUGUGAGUCCCACUAGGACCCAUGUGAGGUAGAGGGUCUUCCGCCUCGCCUCCCAUUCAAGCCCUCCCUGUACCACACAGACACCCAUGUGUGCCCUCCCCUUCUGUGCCAGCAAACAUAGAAGAGAGAGACACUUAAAAGAGGCAACUCGCAUGGAAUGAAGCUGUUUCUGUUGGGGAAUGCUUGGAUGUUCAAUCAUCUUAGAAAAUCCUACGCCACCUCCCGCUGCAGAUUAAUUACUCUAAGUGCAACUCCGAUUGGGCUGGUGACCCCCCAGGAAACCUCUGAAGCUGUCCCAGGCUGUUCCCAACAUAGGGCCUCCACUCUGGCACACCAGGACCCGAGGCCGCGACAGGCUCCUCAUUCCUGCCUCGCUCAAGGCUCAGGUCCCCCACCUGAAAUACCCCCUCCCACCAGCAUCUCCUGCCUCAGUCCUGCUGCCAGGUCCCCAGAAGCUCUUGUUCAUGAGCUUGCCUGCCAUCCACAGCCCCCACCACAACCCAAGUGGCUGUUGAAUUCGCUGCCCUGAUUCUCUGCCCAGAGCCUCGGUUCAGACUGUGUUCCCUGGCGAAUUAGUGUUCAGCAUUUUUGUUUAUUUGUUUGUUCUUUAACAAAAGGUUGUUUUGGUUUGAGAUUCAGCAAAAACACACACUGCAUUCAGCUUCCUCUCCAUUCAGGAUUCAGUAAAUUGGUUGUUUUCCCGUC